AUUUUCUUUAUUUCAUUAUUAUUUUUUGUUGUAGAAAACGUUAGCGCUACUUAUGGUUUUUAUUGUGAUGAUGAUGUUCCGUGUAAUCCUCAUUUAUGUUUACCUCCUCUGCAAGUGAUUUGUGGUGACUCUGAAUCACAUUAAUCAUACAGUGCAAGUCUUUUUGCCGCAUAAAUAUAAUUCUCUUAAGCAAAGAGUAAGAAACAUUUGAAUAAUUUAAUUUAAGUCACAAUUUCAGACUAAGUUAUAUUAUUUAAACUUAAUUUAAAUUUAUUAAUGUUGGUUUAAAUAGUUCUAAUUAUAAGUUGUGUCGUUUCAAAUAAUGCCUUUUAUUUGUUAAGUUUGAGAAUUAAAUAUAUUUUCUAGUGAGAAAGUGAAUUGAGUAUUAUUAGUUCUUCUUAUGGAUCUUUUAUUUUCUUAUCAAAGGUAUAGUUACCAUAGCAUUCAAACUAAUAAUCUAUUAUAUAUAACUAGUUUUUGUCUCUUCUUCAUUUAUUGAUCUAAAACUUCACUCUUUUAAAUUUUCUCGUCUUUUUAUUUCUUCCAUUUGACAUCUUUUUUCCAUAAAAUGAAAAAUUUGAAGAAAAUAAAACUCUUAUGAAGGGGUACAUAAAAGAAGUUACAUGGUCAUAUUCUAAAUAUCACACAUAAUUAAGGAACAUAAAAGAAGUUUAUGGGCGUUACUCAAUGACUCAAAUUUCAUGAGAGCUUUGUAAUCCAUUAAUCAUAUGAAAAGUGCUAAUAUGGUGAGAAUCAAAAUUCGAACACAUAAAUAUUGUCGAAUGUGUAAUUAAAAUAUUAUCACUAACAGAAUCAUAUCCUCAUCAAUAUCAAUAUAUAGUAAUAAAAAAAUCUUCAUCAAUAUAUUAAAUACUUAUCAUCCAUAUAAAUAGGUCAAUUAUACAAAACUUGAAUCGUUUGUAACACCCAGUUUUUUAACACGCAUACAAUCCUUUUUUUAUAUUGUUAGGCAACUUCUUUUCCCACCAUAUAAGAUUUCUCGUGUGUCCUAUGUAGUUCAGAUUAUAGAGUUCUGAUUAUAGAAUCUGAAUGGAAUUAACUCCCUAUAAAAUCUUUUAUAAAAUAAUAUUUCAAAUUUUAUAAUCUGAAUAUGGUGUGUGACAAACUCAGAGUGAAAAAACUAACAUGCAUACUAUUAUCAUUAAAAUACAAGAAGUAUGAAUUUUAUCUGGACCAACUUGAUUCCAAAACAAUUAUAUUCUCCGAAACCUAAUCACCCACUAUAACAUAUGUUCCUAGCAGGGGAUCCUUUGAAGAUUCUAACAUAUAAGGAUGAAAUUUAUUUGUCUUGAAGGAGAAAACUAUUAUUGUCUUUUAAACCAAUACUAAUUAUAUUCUUGUAUCUCUUCUUUUUUUAAUCAUACAAAAUUGUUUCUUUCACUCUCAUGAUUCUUUUUUUCAAGGUGAUUCUUUCUUCCCUAGUUUUUUUUUACAGUCGAGAAAAAAGGACUGAAAGUGAAGGAUAAGAUUUGAUUAACAAAGUUGUAACCCCCUCUCGGAUUGGCUGCGGUUAUGGUGCAUAAGAAAAUCCUUAUGCAUCCUGCAUAAAUUCAGAAAAGGUUUCUGUGAGUUGUCACAAUUGAAAAGACGAUAAAAACAUCACAAUUGAAAUAAAAUUAUGGUCUAAAUCUUUUAAAAUUAACUCAUAAAAUAAUAUGAAUCGUAAAAUUUAGUCAAAUUAAAAACAUUCAAAAUAUCUCUACAAAAUUGUACACCGACAGGAUGAAGUUGUUAUUGUAUUAAGCAGAUUUUUGGUUUAGGUUUUAGUUUAGAUUUAAAUAGCUAAAUAAAUUAUUUAAUUAUACACUGAAAAAAAUUAAUUAUGAUAUUAAAUAAAUGUGUAUAUGCGGGGUUGCGGAGCUGGGUAGUAUAGUAUCCAUACUCGUGUCCAUACCCAUUUAAAUUCGCUGGUAUUACCCGGACCCGUCCCCAGAUCCAUGAUAGCGGGGUUUCACCCUACCCAUUAUGGAUAUUUUAUGCGGGUAUCCAUUGGGUCUGAGUCCAAUUGUCAUCCCUAAAUCUAAGAGCAAAAUGUAUAUCCUCCCUUAGGAGAAUAAUUAGAAUAUUAUGUGUACAUAAAUAAAGUUGUAUUUAUUACACUUGAUUGCAUAUAUGAAUUAUUGUAAUAGCCUUCACAUAUAAAAGUAAACAAGAAACCUUUCUUUCUUUCUUUUUUAUCACUCAGAUGCAAACUCAAAUCAGUUGUAACUAGUCCAGUAUAGGCAACAACCUUUUGUAAAUAAAGGUGUCUAAAGAAACAUUCAACACACUACUAGAAAAAUUGGGAAUAGAGACGGGAAAAAUCUAUCGCUAAAAUGAAAAAAAAAAUGUCUUUAUACAUGCUUGAGACGGAAUCAAAGGUGGAACAAGGUUUAUCGUUGUAUUUGUCAUCUAUAAACUCUUUAGAUAUGAAUUUUCAACUUCCAUCUUUGAGCAGAGAUGGAAUAAAUCUGUCUCCAGUUAAUAAGGAAGAUGAGAUAAAUAUGUCGUUGUUAGAGACGAAAACAACUAUCUCUAAUAUGAAAAUUCGGUCUCUAAACUCUGUCACAAAGGUCACACAUUCCGUCUCUAGUUACUAAUAUUCCGUCUCUACAAAGGAGAAUUGAAGUUCCAUCUCUAAAAUGACUAGAGUUACUUAUCUAAUAAUGACUAGGGUUACAUAUCCACCAUGGACCAUAUGUGUCAGCGGUCCAUGUUAAUAUUUGUCGGUAGAGAUAACUUGUAUAUUCAUAAAUAUAAUUAAUAAAAAAAUUAUAAGAUACAUUUUGUUUCAAGUUUUUUAAGUUUUUACGAAUUUUAAAAAGAAAAAAAUAAUAAUAAAGCAAUCAAUAUUAAUUAGAGAUGGAUUUAGAGACGGAUGUUU